UACGUAGGGCGCAAGCGUUGUCCGGAAUUAUUGGGCGUAAAGAGCUCGUAGGCGGCUUGUCACGUCGGGUGUGAAAGCCCGGGGCUUAACCCCGGGUCUGCAUUCGAUACGGGCUAGCUAGAGUGUGGUAGGGGAGAUCGGAAUUCCUGGUGGAGCGGUGAAAUGCGCAGAUAUCAGGAGGAACACCGGUGGCGAAGGCGGAUCUCUGGGCCAUUACUGACGCUGAGGAGCGAAAGCGUGGGGAGCGAACAGG
rnacentral:rRNA from 1 species